CCUACGGGAGGCAGCAGUGAGGAAUAUUGGUCAAUGGGCGAGAGCCUGAACCAGCCAAGUCGCGUGAGGGAAGACGGUCCUAUGGAUUGUAAACCUCUUUUGCCGGGGAGCAAAACGCGGUACGUGUACCGCAUCGAGAGUACCCUGCGAAAAAGCAUCGGCUAACUCCGUGCCAGCAGCCGCGGUAAUACGGAGGAUGCGAGCGUUAUCCGGAUUUAUUGGGUUUAAAGGGUGCGCAGGCGGCGAGUUCAGUCAGCGGUAAAAUUUCGGGGCUCAACCCCGACAAGCCGUUGAAACUGGCGUGCUAGAGUGGGCGAGAAGUAUGCGGAAUGCGUGGUGUAGCGGUGAAAUGCAUAGAUAUCACGCAGAACUCCGAUUGCGAAGGCAGCAUACCGGCGCCCAACUGACGCUCAGGCACGAAAGCGUGGGUAUCGAACAGGAUUAGAUACCCUUGUAGUC
rnacentral:rRNA from 1 species